GACUUGGCUGCCUUGGAUGAAUCGGAUAAACUACCAUUUCCAAAUGAUGAGAAUGAUUUUAGUCCCCCAGACAUAGAGUUUUUCUGAUCUUUUAGAUGAAAGGGUAAAGCCAGAUGACAAAGAAAGAAAGAAUUAGAGCCAGAGGAAGACCCCCAAAGAAAGGGGAUAGGGACAAGGAUGAUGUCUCCAGUAGACGAGAUCGAGUCCGAGAGGUCCGAGAUGAGGAUGAUGACACACCCCGCAGGCAAGGCAAGCGUGGCCCGUGACUCUAAACCUUCCCCCCCAGCCCACACUCCAACUUCCAACAAGAGACUAGAAAUUGACCGAAGUUAUUUUUAAUGGCAUUGGGUAUUAUUUUUUGCUCGCAUGGG